ACCUCAUGGACUAUUAGGUUCUUUCUGAUUCCCCCUCUAGCAUCACCAUUACUAAUGGUAUGGUCCUUAGCAUCAGGUCCUUUUUGUCCCCCACUGGUCUUCUGAGCAGACUUGACGCAGCUUCAUCUCAUUCCUGAUGGAUCCUGAGCCCCUCAGUGCUUUACUCCUGCGUGAGCGCUAUGAACUGGACCAAAUGGGUUGAAAAUGGCCAGAAGUUGCUCUUUAUCACUUUAGAUCUUUUAUGAUAAAGAAAAAAACUUCAAUUUCUGACCAGUUAAAAUCCAUCUGAGCCAGUAAACGCUCAUUGGGCAGAGCUGGAGCCUGAGGUCGGUAAAUCCAGGAAGAUGGCUGAAUGCUUUGCUGACUCAAGCCCAGACAAGGAGCCAGAUUUCUUGGAUUCCAGAUUCACUUCCUUCUUGGCUUCACCCUGGACCUGUGGUGACUGGAGGCUUUGUGAUAUGAUGAGGAAACUUAGGCUCCAAGAGCUUCUGUGACUUGUCCAAGGCCAUACAGCUAGUAAGUAACCUGGGGUGUGGUAUGCUUCAGAUCACUGGGUGCAUGUGCCUCAGGAUUUUCACUCUUACCUGAUCAUUUCUCCAGUUGAGUAACAUGCUGAUAUUGCCAGAGGCGCAUCAGGACUGUGCACAAGUACGUCAUAUUGGGCUGGGUGCCUGGAGUUGAUGAGAGUAUUGUGAAGAUAUAUGAUCAGCCUUUAGCCCAGCAGGUCCUGGAGGAUGAGGUUGGAACACAGCUGAGCUAUUACACAGUCAAAUGGCAUGAACACUUAUUCAUAAUGUCUGUACCUCCCCCAGAACAUCGUCCUCUAUAGACACUUGGAAGGGCACAUCUGUAAGAAGAUAUGGAGACCUCCCCAUUAAAGAUCAGAAAAGUGUGGUCAAGAGAGGGGCAGGGACCUCUCCAAGAUUUUCUUCUUAAUGAUUUUGCCCCUGAUUCUGCUCGAAAUUAAUUUUUAAAUAUGAUCAAGAAAAUGUAGGCCUCAAGCACAUUUGUUUUUUCAGGAAAGACCAAUUCCUCUGUGAACCUUGCUAAGAUAAGUCUGCAGGGUAGUAUUUUCAUUUCUUCCUGGUUAUUAUAUAAGCUAGCAUCAUAGAAAUAUAAAGAUACUAUACUUCAGAGUAAGUCAGAUUGCGACUAAUUCCCUUUCAGAAGCACAGAUGGAAAUCCACUAAGAUUUUCCUGAGCCCUAGGUUCUUUACUUGUAAAAUUAGGACUACCAAUUUGAUUCUAUUCCUGUGGAGUUGGAGGUAACUGGGGAAAUCUAGAUGAAGGGAAUCAGGGAAGAGCUAAGGCUCAGAGAGUGUUCCCUUCUAGAUAGACAGAUGUGAGAAUUACUUGUCCUGGGGGCUGUACAGAAAGCCUCAUGAGCCCUACACAUGUCCUCACCUAAGCAGAAGAAUCUCUUCCACAAGAUGGCUGUUCAUCCACUUUUUUUUUCAGUUCUCUGACUUGAUAGCUCUAGAUAUUAGCCUCUAGACUUAACAUGUUUGCUAAGUCUGCAUUUGCCUUGGAUUCUAGUUUCCUUAUUAGCUCAUUUGUCCCUUUGAGAAUUAUUUUGUUUUUGUCACUCUUGGUAUAACUUACUCUAAAGCUAAAUGCAGUACUUCUGAAAUGGGAUAGAGUAAAAGGAAAGCCACCAUCUCCUUCAUUUCAGACACUGUCAUUUUAUUGGUGUAUCCUAAGGCUUCAAUAGUUCAUGUUUGUUUUGAAUACUGCCUUACAUAAAUGUGUAUUAGAGCUAAAUUCUCUGUCUUUAGCAGCACACCAUACUAUCUUCCUGAGUCAUUAUGAUAUGCCGUGGCAGUGACACACAUGAACUUCACCUGGGAAUCUUUUUAAAGGCCAAUUCUGAGCCAAUCUGUGUGUCCUUUAUCGUAAAGAAGGUUAAAAUAAAAGCCCCCGCCCCCAUAUGAGUCUUGGUUUUGCUAUGUAGUCCAGGCUGGCCUCUAACUUGUAAUCAUCCUGCCUCAGCCUCCUGGGUUCUGGGAUUACAAGUGUGUGGCAUCAUACUUGGCCUUCGGUUUGGUUUUGCAUAUACUACUUUUUCUUCAGAACUGUGUAUCAAACCAAAGGCCCUGUGUUUUCUGUACAAGUGCUACCACUGAGCCACAACUUCACCGAGAGGGUCUCAUUAAGUUACCUAGUUGGCCCCGGAAUAAACGUAACUUGGCUGUGUCAAUGUCUGUAGGGUAUUUAUCUCCUACAUUAUACCCAUAACCAGGAAGAAAUGACGUUAUACCCAUUGCCUAUUGAUAUUUAGCACGUUAGGCCUGAAAACAGAAUUUAAUAAUCUACUAAUUCAAGGACAGUUGCAAUAAAUUCAAAACAGUUCACAAAAACUUAUUUUGAAGGAAGGAACAUUUUCCAAAUAAAACAUCUAUGAGUUGUGGUCUUUCAUUUUUUUAGUAGCUGUCCUUAGUAUCUUUCACAUUCAGUAUUUUGCCAUAUCACAUAGAUAUGGCUGCUAGAAACCUCAUUUUGGGAAGGAGAAACUGUGAAUAAGCUUGCAAUUUUUUUCUUUUAUAAGAUUUAUUUUCAAGUUGUGUGUGUGUGUGUGUGUGUGUGUGUGUCUAUGCAUCUGCAUCGUGUAUAAGUUUAUAUAACUGAGUACCAAAGAGGAUAUUGGAUCCCCUGGACCCUGAGUCCCAGGCAGUUGUGAGCUGCCUAAUGUGCGUGAUAGGAUCUGAACUCAGGUCCUUUUCCAGAGCCUUAAUCUCUGAGCCAUCUCUCCAUAUAGAUUCUGAAGAUUAGGGAAUUUUGACUCCAUGAGUUCUCUCUCUGGCAGGGCUUUGGGAUCCUCAGAGGUCCCUGGGCAAUCCAAGGUUUUCUAAAAUAAGUUAUGCUUCAUGAGACAUGGAUGUACUUUCACAUGGGCCAUUUUUUCAUUGAAGUAAAUCCUGUUUUUACACAAAAGAGCAAAUACUGUAAGACUUCACACGAUGGGUUUCCUAGAAUAUAGACAUUCGGGAGACAGAGUAGAAUAGUGGUUAACACUGGCGAGGAAGGAGGGAGGAUUAGAAUUCUGUGUAAUGGGUAAAAAGUUUCAGUUUGGGAAGCUGAGGGAGCUCAGGGGAUGAAUAGUUCCAGGCAGUGGGAGUGUGGUAAAUGCCACUGAACUGUAUAAUUUAAAAAUGUUGAGUGGUAAACCUCAUGUUCUAUAUAGUUUACUAUGAUUUAAAACAUGAGGAUUCCAGAUACCCAGUCAUCCCUGUUCUGAUUCACCAGGUUCACAGUGAGGCACAGAAUCAGUUGUAGAAGCACUUCAGGGAAUUUGGAUACUGUUUGGUGGCCUGGCAAGAUCAGCACCCUUACUAUUUUAGUCCCUGCCAGUCAUCAGCCUCUGGUUUCCCUGUUAUCCUCUGCUCCCUGUUAUGUAGCUACUAAGUGGCCUAAGAGCCAGCACCUUCACAGAGUAGCAAAGAGGAAAGGACAUUUGAGGACACAGUGAGAAGACGAUGGUUAUCCACAAGCCAGAAAAAGAAGCCUCACCAGAAACCAAUCCUGACACCCUGAGUUUGGGUUUUCAGCCCCUACAACUGUGAGACAAUGAAUGUCUUCUUUACAGCACGGUCUAUGAUAUCUUGUGAUAGACCAAGGAGACUAAUCUAACUAUUCUUUAAUAUUGGGAACAUUACUUAGAAGCAAAUGAUCUUCAAAAAUGGUAAAGUUACUGGUGUUUGCUAUUCUCAUUCUUCCUUUUCCACCGUUGAGCCGUUGAAAACAAUGAUAGGUAACUUACACUGCAUUCCUGGCACUCAUUUCUCUUUAGCUUUCAGUAUUUGAUUUCCGACACUAUGGUUAAGGUCUGACAAACAUUCUCUUGAUAAUACACUACAGAGCGUUAGAGACAGUCCCAAAUUUCCAGCCAAAGAGAAUAUGCUAAGCUUGGAUGGUGUCAAUGGAGCACUCUGACCUGUGAAGCAUCAUUAGUUUGAAGGCUUUCUUUGUGAUACUCUUUAGAUCUCAGUUUGGAACUGAGUUACAGACUAGAUCAUAUCUCUUCAUUCUCUCCAUUUGAUCUUUCUUUCCUCAUUAAUUUCAAAGUAUGCAAGCUAUAUGCUUUCUAGUAUUUUUUUCCCUUCACAGCCAUUAUCUAGGCACCAAAAACAGAGAUGGAAAGAGACAGGUUUAAUCCAAAGCACCAGUUUCCAUUACCUUAAGCUGCCUCAAUGAUUUUUCUGCUGGGAUGAAAUUCCUUACACUUGGUCUCAGGCCCAAGGUAUAUGCAAUACGUCAAUGAAAUUGCUUGCGACACAUUGACGGGAGUGCCUGGGAACCAUGAGUUUCUUAACUAUUUAAAAAAAAGAGACUCAGAACUUCUUGUAAAGGCACCAAAUACAGAGUUUUCACUUGCCAUGAAGAUCUA